UACGUAGGGGGCAAGCGUUAUCCGGAUUUACUGGGUGUAAAGGGAGCGUAGACGGUUAUGCAAGUCUGGAGUGAAAGGCGGGGGCUCAACCCCCGGACUGCUCUGGAAACUGUAGAACUAGAGUGCAGGAGGGGUAAGUGGAAUUCCUAGUGUAGCGGUGAAAUGCGUAGAUAUUAGGAGGAACACCAGUGGCGAAGGCGGCUUACUGGACUGUAACUGACGUUGAGGCUCGAAAGCGUGGGGAGCAAACAGG
rnacentral:rRNA from 1 species